rnacentral:rRNA from 1 species
CCUACGGGUGGCAGCAGUGAGGAAUAUUGGUCAAUGGGCGCGAGCCUGAACCAGCCAAGUAGCGUGAAGGAUGACUGCCCUACGGGUUGUAAACUUCUUUUAUAAAGGAAUAAAAUGAGGCACGUGUGCCUUUUUGUAUGUACUUUAUGAAUAAGGAUCGGCUAACUCCGUGCCAGCAGCCGCGGUAAUACGGAGGAUCCGAGCGUUAUCCGGAUUUAUUGGGUUUAAAGGGUGCGUAGGCGGGUUGGUAAGUUAGUGGUGAAAUGUCGGGGCUUAACCCGGGAACUGCAACUAAUACUGUCGGGCGAGAGAGUAGAUGAGGUAGGCGGAAUGUGUGGUGUAGCGGUGAAAUGCUUAGAGAUCACAAAGAACACCGAUUGCGAAGGCAGCUUACCAAGCU